rnacentral:rRNA from 1 species
UGGGGAAUUUUGGACAAUGGGCGAAAGCCUGAUCCAGCAAUGCCGCGUGCAGGAUGAAGGCCUUCGGGUUGUAAACUGCUUUUGUACGGAACGAAACGGUCUGAGUUAAUACCUCGGGCUAAUGACGGUACCGUAAGAAUAAGCACCGGCUAACUACGUGCCAGCAGCCGCGGUAAUACGUAGGGUGCAAGCGUUAAUCGGAAUUACUGGGCGUAAAGCGUGCGCAGGCGGUUUUGUAAGACAGAUGUGAAAUCCCCGGGCUUAACCUGGGAACUGCAUUUGUGACUGCAAGGCUAGAGUACGGCAGAGGGGGAUGGAAUUCCGCGUGUAGCAGUGAAAUGCGUAGAUAUGCGGAGGAACACCGAUGGCGAAGGCAAUCCCCUGGGCCUGUACUGACGCUCAUGCACGAAAGCGUGGGGAGCAAACAGGAUUAGAUACCCUGGUAGUCCACGCCCUAAACGAUGUCAACUGGUUGUUGGGUCUUCACUGACUCAGUAACGAAGCUAACGCGUGAAGUUGACCGCCUGGGGAGUACGGCCGCAAGGUG